rnacentral:tRNA from 1 species
AGCAGGCUUGGUAUAUAAAUUCUAGCCAUACGCCCUCUCAAGGCUGAAACACGGGUUCGAAUCCCGUAGGGGCUACCA